rnacentral:rRNA from 2 species
UCUAGAACUGAUAACCCCCGUUUAACCUCACCAUCCUUUGUUUUCCCCGCCUAUAUACCACCGUCGUCAGCUUACCCUGUGAAGGGAAAAUAGUAAGCAUAAAUGGCAAAGCCAAA